GGGAUUGUGGCUCAGAGGUAGAGCGCUCGCCUAGCACGUGUGAGGCACUGAGUUCAAUCCUCUGCACUA
rnacentral:tRNA from 1 species